GAUGAACGCUGGCGGCGUGCCUAAUACAUGCAAGUCGAGCGAACGGACGAGAAGCUUGCUUCUCUGAUGUUAGCGGCGGACGGGUGAGUAACACGUGGAUAACCUACCUAUAAGACUGGGAUAACUUCGGGAAACCGGAGCUAAUACCGGAUAAUAUUUUGAACCGCAUGGUUCAAAAGUGAAAGACGGUCUUGCUGUCACUUAUAGAUGGAUCCGCGCUGCAUUAGCUAGUUGGUAAGGUAACGGCUUACCAAGGCAACGAUGCAUAGCCGACCUGAGAGGGUGAUCGGCCGCACUGGAACUGAGACACGGUCCAGACUCCUACGGGAGGCAGCAGUAGGGAAUCUUCCGCAAUGGGCGAAAGCCUGACGGAGCAACGCCGCGUGAGUGAUGAAGGUCUUCGGAUCGUAAAACUCUGUUAUUAGGGAAGAACAUAUGUGUAAGUAACUGUGCACAUCUUGACGGUACCUAAUCAGAAAGCCACGGCUAACUACGUGCCAGCAGCCGCGGUAAUACGUAGGUGGCAAGCGUUAUCCGGAAUUAUUGGGCGUAAAGCGCGCGUAGGCGGUUUUUUAAGUCUGAUGUGAAAGCCCACGGCUCAACCGUGGAGGGUCAUUGGAAACUGGAAAACUUGAGUGCAGAAGAGGAAAGUGGAAUUCCAUGUGUAGCGGUGAAAUGCUCAGAGAUAUGGAGGAACACCAGUGGCGAAGGCGACUUUCUGGUCUGUAACUGACGCUGAUGUGCGAAAGCGUGGGGAUCAAACAGGAUUAGAUACCCUGGUAGUCCACGCCGUAAACGAUGAGUGCUAAGUGUUAGGGGGUUUCCGCCCCUUAGUGCUGCAGCUAACGCAUUAAGCACUCCGCCUGGGGAGUACGACCGCAAGGUUGAAACUCAAAGGAAUUGACGGGGACCCGCACAAGCGGUGGAGCAUGUGGUUUAAUUCGAAGCAACGCGAAGAACCUUACCAAAUCUUGACAUCCUUUGACAACUCUAGAGAUAGAGCCUUCCCCUUCGGGGGACAAAGUGACAGGUGGUGCAUGGUUGUCGUCAGCCCGUGUCGUGAGAUGUUGGGUUAAGUCCCGCAACGAGCGCAACCCUUAAGCUUAGUUGCCAUCAUUAAGUUGGGCACUCUAAGUUGACUGCCGGUGACAAACCGGAGGAAGGUGGGGAUGACGUCAAAUCAUCAUGCCCCUUAUGAUUUGGGCUACACACGUGCUACAAUGGACAAUACAAAGGGCAGCGAAACCGCGAGGUCAAGCAAAUCCCAUAAAGUUGUUCUCAGUUCGGAUUGUAGUCUGCAACUCGACUACAUGAAGCUGGAAUCGCUAGUAAUCGUAGAUCAGCAUGCUACGGUGAAUACGUUCCCGGGUCU
rnacentral:rRNA from 1 species